UACGGUGAGGUGUGGAGCAGUUCACUGCUUAUAAACUGCACCGUGGGCACAGCACUCUGCCUUUUACCGAGCGUUUCUACUGAGCACUGGAAAUGAUGUUGAGCUUAUUAAGUUGUUUUAUACACACACGUAUAACUGACUUAAUUGUGUUAGGAGAUAGUAAUGGAAAUGCUUUGCACACAAGCACUUUCUGAUCUUUUGGAAUGAUUCCCUGAGGCGAAUCAAUGGUGCUUGCGUUUUCUGUCUGUUGAUACAGCUGAAGAUGUAUCUGAGCUCUACGGUGAUCUCUUUUGCUGGAGAACCACGAGGCCCUCAGUUUACCAAGUCAUCGAAAAGACGGCAUUUCCAGCAGCAGAGUGGAAUUCAGAGCAAAGAGCGCUCCCUGCUGCCCCAACAUCACAUUACACCCUGAAGGAUAAGUGACAGGAACGGGAGUGACGGGAUUUAAAAAAAAAAAAAAAUAGGGUUCCCACUGCACAUCCUCCUCUUCUUUUUUAGGGGUAAUCCUGGGAUGACUAUGGCUGCAAUGUGGCUGAUUGUAACACUCUUUUUAUUGUUUUCCAGGACCCCCUUGUAAACGAGGCCUCGGUCUCAGGGAGUAAAGCUCAUGGUGGAAUAAAUACAUCAAUUCUAAUACUCAGCCUCAAAAACUCAACUGUGUUUGAUCAUCAAUGGCAAUCCCAACAUCUAUUUAAUACUGACACAGCGACUGAGGAGGUUAUUUUAAUGAAUGAUAUAAAAAUAACAAAGUCAAAUGGCCAUAUAUACACUUACUUUUGUAUUUGACAACCAAGCACAGUUUUUUCAUUUUUUUUUUAGAAUGACAUUGUUCCUGAUGAAUAGAAUUCACAUUGUUCCUCUGUGUUAUUAAUGGCGUUAGGGUGUGUAUUAUUCUUCUGAGAUUUAAUUAACUACAGACAGCACCCUUUCUAUGGAGCUACCUGCCAAAGACACAUCAUAUUAAAUCACUACAUUCCUUUGGCUUGGCGUUCCGGUGGGAAAUAACCCUCUCAAUACAGUUUGGACUUGCUUUUUAAGUGCUUUAAUUAAGGAUAUUUCCCCCACCAAUAUGCACAUCUCCUCAUUAAAGCAAGUAUUUGCAUGUUCCCCAUGUAGAAAUUGGCUCCUGCAAUUCGUGUAUCUGUUUUGCAGGGAUAGUCAAAUAUCACAAUGGCCUGUUGCAUUCAGGGAGGGGAGUUCAGCUAUAAAGUAGGUUGCAGCCAGACCAUUAGAGUGAAAUUGACAUACAGCAUGUGAUUGGUGUCUAACAACAGUUUUCUGAAUCCUGCAUCAGGGAUGGAAAUAAGACUCCAAUUGCAUUGCAGUUUCACCCGUUGCAGGCUUUACUACGAGCUUGAUAACUAUAGAUAACAAGCUUAGGUGCGUUUUAUUAAACUCACAGUACAACCAGGAAUGGAUCAAACUGCUGUGCAACGGGAGUCUUAUUUCCAUCCCUGUGCAUCAAACUUACCAUACCCCAUGCACUUAAAAAGAGGGUUCCAGAGAUGAGGGGGUUAAUGGAAGGCUGUGGCUAUGCAUGUGAAGCAGGCUGACAGCCCUCAAGUGCUUCUGUGUGAAUCAGAGAGGGCUUCAUUGUUUAGGGUGUGUCUGUGGGACUCUUAUGUUUGAAAUCGAGAUUUGAUAUAUGGGCUGUCAGAAGCCUUGUGUCUGCAGUUUGCUUCCAUCCCUGGGCUGCUUAUCACACUGCAGUUUUCAGAACACUGCAUCUAUUUUAAGACACCCCUUCAGUUAGCACUUUUCGCUGUGCUAUUGGAGCAAAUUCGUCUAUUAGAAUGCUUGUUCUGUAUAAGGUCAUAUUUUUGUGGGAUCACAUUGACCAGAUUUAAUGUUAGGACCCCACAGCCCACGCAUUUAAUGUUUGACUGAACAAUGAAUAGCUAAACUGUGUUGAAAUGCGUGUCUGUUUAACUGUGUAUAUAUUUGACGGCAGAUACUGCAGCGCACCCUCCCCUGUCAAAGACAUCAGAAGAGGAGACGCUGGUUUGAACUACUACUGCCUUCCUUGAGUUUGCGGAAGUUUAUGCAGAUGUGCAGUCGCACUUUGUUCAUAGAAAUAAAACUAAGGACGCUUGCUCGCACCGAUGCAAGUACUGCAGUGAUGGCUCUCUGUAGAAAGAACAUUGGAUCGGAUAUGAAUUGUGUAACCUGACGGUAAAUAUUACGCAGCGAAUAGACAAAUGUAUAUGAGUGUUUAAAAUAAUACGGACUAUUGUACAUGCACUGAUGUAGCGAUGUAACACGCGGUUCCAGAGUAUGUUAAUAUUGUUAUUAUUAAUAAACAUACAUGCCAUCAGUCCCUAUGUGUAUGAAUAAAGGAUGUAUUAAUAUUGUAUUACUAUGGUUCACUGUGUAAUUCUCUCUCUCUCUCUC